CUAAUACUCCCUCCGUCCGAAAAUACUUGUCAUCAAAAUAGAUAAAAAGAGAUGUAUCUAGAAUUAAAAUACAUCUAGAUACAUCCCCUUUUAUCCAUUUUGAUGACGAGUAUUUCCGGACGGAGGGAGUACUAA
rfam:Triticum urartu cultivar G1812 contig1019640, whole genome shotgun sequence.